CCUACGGGGGGCAGCAGUGAGGAAUAUUGGUCAAUGGACGAGAGUCUGAACCAGCCAAGUAGCGUGAAGGAUGACUGCCCUAUGGGUUGUAAACUUCUUUUAUAUGGGAAUAAAAUGUUCCACGUGUGGGAUUUUGUAUGUACCAUAUGAAUAAGGAUCGGCUAACUCCGUGCCAGCAGCCGCGGUAAUACGGAGGAUCCGAGCGUUAUCCGGAUUUAUUGGGUUUAAAGGGAGCGUAGGUGGAUUGUUAAGUCGGUUGUGAAAGUUUGCGGCUCAACCGUAAAAUUGCAGUUGAAAAUGGCAGUCUUGAGUACAGUAGAGGUGGGCGGAAUUCGUGGUGUAGCGGUGAAAUGCUUAGAUAUCACGAAGAACUCCGAUUGCGAAGGCAGUUCACUGGACUGCAACUGACACUGAGGCUCGAAAGUGUGGGUAUCAAACAGGAUUAGAUACCCUUGUAGUC
rnacentral:rRNA from 1 species